rnacentral:rRNA from 1 species
CGUGCAGGCGGGUUGGUAAGUCAGGUGUGAAAGCCCUGGGCUCAACCCAGGAAGUGCAUUUGAAACUGCCAUCCUUGAGUAUGGGAGAGGAGAGUGGAAUUCCCAAUGUAGAGGUGAAAUUCGUAGAUAUUGGGAGGAACACCCGUGGCGAAGGCGACUCUCUGGACCAAUACUGACGCUGAGACGCGAAAGCGUGGGGAGCAAACA